CUUCAACGACCCCAGCAGCAGGGGCCGCCCGGCCUCCCGACCCUGCCCGUACGUCGCCAGCAGCGCCUGCGCCUC
rnacentral:antisense_RNA from 1 species